AAAUUGAAGAGUUUGAUCAUGGCUCAGAUUGAACGCUGGCGGCAGGCCUAACACAUGCAAGUUGAACGGUAACAGGAAGCAGCUUGCUGCUUUGCUGACGAGUGGCGGACGGGUGAGUAAUGUCUGGGAAACUGCCUGAUGGAGGGGGAUAACUACUGGAAACGGUAGCUAAUACCGCAUAACGUCGCAAGACCAAAGAGGGGGACCUUCGGGCCUCUUGCCAUCGGAUGUGCCCAGAUGGGAUUAGCUAGUAGGUGGGGUAACGGCUCAC
rnacentral:rRNA from 1 species